rnacentral:RNase_P_RNA from 1 species
CGAGCAAGCAAGACGGCAGCGUGCGUUAUCGAAAGGUAACGUAUGAGGAAAGUCCGGGCUCCUCAGGGCAAGAAUAGCUGCUAACGGCAGCCGGAGGCGACUCUAGGGAAAGUGCAACAGAGAUAUACCGCCGCGUAAGCGGUAAGGGUGGAAAGGCGAGGUAAGAGCUCACCGGCGCACAGGAGACUGUGCGGCCAUGUAAACCCUAUUCGGAGCAACACCGUGUAAAGAGGACGAAUACGCAGCCCUGCGCGUCCUUGAUAGAGGUGGCUGGAGGUGGUUGGCGACGACCAUCGUAGAUAGAUUGCUGUCAAAUACAGAACCCGGCUUAAAUGCUUGGUCGCAUU